GAGUCUUAGGAUACUUGGUGCUAAGUGUCCUUGGGUUUGAGUAGUACUGGGUUGGGUGACCUCUUGGGAAGUCCAAAUUCAGGAGCUU
rnacentral:rRNA from 1 species